rnacentral:lncRNA from 9 species
CUGAGGGACCCCCUGCCCCUCCCCCAGGGGCCUGGGACUUGUCGGAGGGGCCUCCCUAGUUUGGGACAGAAGGUGCUGCUGCUGGAAAGAACGGAAAUCGCAGGAAUAUCAAACCGCCUCCCAGUCUAGCGGCACGUGGAAAGAGGGCGGUUGGGGCCGCGUUUCGGGGACCUGGGUUUCUUCAGGGGAACCAUCACCGUCGCACGUCUGGGAGAAACCUCCACGGCACUAAGCACUGGCUUUUCCCCGGAACCCAGCUUCUCCGCUAAAAGGAGCAGAGGACUUGGAAGGACAGAAGCUGCAGCAUGGACUCCCCGAGGAAGAGGUGUCUGCUUAGGGCAGUUCAGCCGCUACUCCUAUCGUGUGUGAUGUGAUAUUUAACUCCGAAAUAAAAACGUGCCUGGACCC